AAGGAUUUAAGUUAAAGAAACUAAUAGCCUUCAAAGUUAUCAAUAGGGAAAUUUCCUAAGCCUUG
rnacentral:tRNA from 1 species